AGAGAGCCCUCUACAGGGACGUCAUGCAGGAGAACUACGAGACGGUGACCUCGCUGGGAUUCCCCCUUCCCAAACCUGAACUGAUUGUCCGGCUGGAACGAGGGGAAGAGCCGUGGGUGCCCGAUCUCCAGACCUGCAAGGAAAGAAGGCUUCCGAGAUGCCCCCAUACAGGUGCUGAGCGAGGGAGUGAGAAUGAGGAG